CGAAUACCGGAGAAUGUUAUCACGGGAGACACACGGCGGGUGCUAACGUCCGUCGUGAAGAGGGAAACAACCCAGACCGCCAGCUAAGGUCCCAAAGUCAUGGUUAAGUGGGAAACGAUGUGGGAAGGCCCAGACAGCCAGGAUGUUGGCUUAGAAGCAGCCAUCAUUUAAAGAAAGCGUAAUAGCUCACUGGUCGAGUCGGCCUGCGCGGAAGAUGUAACGGGGCUAAACCAUGCACCGAAGCUGCGGCAGCGACGCUGAUGCGUUGUUGGGUAGGGGAGCGUUCUGUAAGCCUGCGAAGGUGUGCUGUGAGGCAUGCUGGAGGUAUCAGAAGUGCGAAUGCUGACAUAAGUAACGAUAAAGCGGGUGAAAAGCCCGCUCGCCGGAAGACCAAGGGUUCCUGUCCAACGUUAAUCGGGGCAGGGUGAGUCGACCCCUAAGGCGAGGCCGAAAGGCGUAGUCGAUGGGAAACAGGUUAAUAUUCCUGUACUUGGUGUUACUGCGAAGGGGGGACGGAGAAGGCUAUGUUGGCCGGGCGACGGUUGUCCCGGUUUAAGCGUGUAGGCUGGUUUUCCAGGCAAAUCCGGAAAAUCAAGGCUGAGGCGUGAUGACGAGGCACUACGGUGCUGAAGCAACAAAUGCCCUGCUUCCAGGAAAAGCCUCUAAGCAUCAGGUAACAUCAAAUCGUACCCCAAACCGACACAGGUGGUCAGGUAGAGAAUACCAAGGCGCUUGAGAGAACUCGGGUGAAGGAACUAGGCAAAAUGGUGCCGUAACUUCGGGAGAAGG
rnacentral:rRNA from 1 species